GAUCCCUCGGCUGGGUCUACCUCAAAACCGAACCGAGUGCAGACAGACCCCCGGGUGGACGAACAAAGACACGCCCUCCAAGACCCGGUGCACUGGAUGCUGCUGCAGCAUGCAUACAGCAAUUGGAAGAAACAGUCAAGGAGCUGACGAGAGCUGUCGCAGCUGAAAGUGGUUCAAAUGCCUUUUCACCGAUUUUCUGUCUCAGACAAGAACAUCCUUUUUAGGCCUUUAAGGCCCUGUCUCCCAUGUUGUUAUACAUGGGCCAACUACCGUUACCUGCUCCUUGGCUCCCUCCCCAUCUGGAUGAGUAAACAGAAAGUCAAGAACACCAUGCCAAGCAAAUUUGUGCAGUACAGUCCAGAUGUUUCGGGUAAUCGUCGAGUGCACCGAGGUGCGAUGCCAGAAUCCAUCAUCCCUCACCCAGAGUUUUUCUCAUCUUACAAGAACACAAAACCUUUAAGGCCUUGAUUGGGAUUGCCCCUUGUAGUGCUGUGACUUUUGUGUCUUUUUGUGUCUCCUCACCGGCUCCAUCUCCGACCGAGAGCUGACUGAACGAAGUGGACUGCUGGAUUUACUGGAGCCAGGAGAUGGCUGCAUGGCAGACAAGGGUUUCACCAUCGAGAAGCCACUAGCUAGCUGAUCGUGGAGCAACGCUGAUUAUACCACCCUUCAAGAUGACAGGAAUACCGCAUCUGGGAACGCACUGUCCUCUCACCUUGUCUGGGACAGUCAACCAGCUGUGGACCGUCUGCUCUGUGAUGACCAACUUCCAGGGACCACUUCAUUUAAAAGACUACAUCCCUGUUGAAUAGUGUUUCUACUCAAACAUGUACCUAUAAAUAUUAAAUAUAAUAUAUAAAUAUUAAAACGAGAGACA